rnacentral:ncRNA from 1 species
GUAUCGACAUAGAAGAGAUGAGUAUAGUGUUUGAUCGUUUGUAGAGAGCUAGUGGGUGGUGGAAACUAGUAACGAUUUCGCUAGAAGAUGGUCUUGGAGUCAUAAUGACACGAACAUGAUUGCUAGUGCCAUUCGGGGUCGCUCGUUAUAACGUUUAGAGGGUAAGCUUGUCUUAUCAAACUCGGGUGGUAACACGUGGUAACGUCCCGUAA